AGAGUUUGAUCCUGGCUCAAGAUGAACGCUAGCGGGAGGCCUAACACAUGCAAGUCGAACGGGAUUGGGAGCUUGCUCCCAUGAGAGUGGCGCACGGGUGAGUAACGCGUAUGCAACCUACCUCUAACUGAGGGAUAGCCCAUAGAAAUGUGGAUUAAUACCUCAUAGUUCUAUUGUUCCGCAUGGGAUGAUAGAUAAAGCUCCGGCGGUUAUAGAUGGGCAUGCGUGACAUUAGCUAGUUGGUGAGGUAACGGCUCACCAAGGCUACGAUGUCUAGGGGUUCUGAGAGGAUGAUCCCCCACACUGGUACUGAGACACGGACCAGACUCCUACGGGAGGCAGCAGUGAGGAAUAUUGGUCAAUGGGCGCAAGCCUGAACCAGCCAUCCCGCGUGAAGGAUGAAGGUCCUAUGGAUUGUAAACUUCUUUUAUACAGGAAGAAAAACACGGACGUGUCCGUGGCCGACGGUACUGUAUGAAUAAGCAUCGGCUAACUCCGUGCCAGCAGCCGCGGUAAUACGGAGGAUGCAAGCGUUAUCCGGAUUUAUUGGGUUUAAAGGGUGCGUAGGCGGCUCUUUAAGUCAGUGGUGAAAUCCUGCCGCUUAACGGUAGAAUUGCCAUUGAUACUGAAGAGCUUGAGUACAGUUGAGGUAAGCGGAAUGUGUAGUGUAGCGGUGAAAUGCUUAGAUAUUACACAGAACACCAAUUGCGAAGGCAGCUUACUAAACUGUCACUGACGCUGAUGCACGAAAGCGUGGGGAGCGAACAGGAUUAGAUACCCUGGUAGUCCACGCCGUAAACGAUGAUCACUCGCUGUAUGCGAUACACAGUAUGCGGCCAAGCGAAAGCAUUAAGUGAUCCACCUGGGGAGUACGAUCGCAAGGUUGAAACUCAAAGGAAUUGACGG
rnacentral:rRNA from 1 species